rnacentral:rRNA from 1 species
CGCUGGCGGCGUGCUUAACACAUGCAAGUCGAACGGGGAUUAGUUGGUUGAGAGCUCGGCAGGAUACCGAUUAAUUCGAGUGGCGGACGGGUGAGUAACGCGUGAGCAACCUGUCCCAGACAGGGGGAUAACACUUGGAAACAGGUGCUAAUACCGCAUAAGACCACAGUAGGACAUCCUACAGGGGUAAAAGGAGCAAUCCGGUUUGGGGUGGGCUCGCGUCCGAUUAGAUAGUUGGUGAGGUAACGGCCCACCAAGGCUACGAUCAGUAGGGGUUCUGAGAGGAAGGUCCCCCACAUUGGAACUGAGACACGGUCCAAACUCCUACGGGAGGCAGCAGUGAGGAAUAUUGGUCAAUGGGCGAGAGCCUGAACCAGCCAAGUAGCGUGCAAGGAUGACGGCCCUAUGGGUUGUAAACUGCUUUUGUACGGGAAUAAAGUCAUCCACGUGUGGAUGUUUGCAUGUACCGUAAGAAUAAGGACCGGCUAAUUCCGUGCCAGCAGCCGC